rnacentral:rRNA from 1 species
CCCAACAUUCCAGACUGGUUGCCCACUGAAGCUAAGCAGGGUUGAGCCUGGUCAGUACCUGGAUGGGAGACCUCCUGGGAAAACUAGGUUGCUGUUGGAA